AGCAGUUUGCCUGCAUGCAGUUUCAUGUAUUUGCUAUUUACUUCUGCAUGUACCUUUUAGGUGUCUGUGCAUAUACCUGUUAAUCCCAUGGAUCUGCCCAAGGAACAUCCCUUCAGAAGCUCUUUGCCUCUGAAUAACUGCCUGUUCCUCUGCAUCAGCUGAGAAGAUGCAUCUUGCAGGAAUUGCACUACCAAUCACUUCUCCAUUCCCCCUCUACUGGCUCCUGUAUGACAGCUGGUUCCCAUCUUUGAAGAUAAGCCAAAUGGAAAGAACUUCAUUCCUGCACCAGUCAACUGGAAAGAGUCAAACAACUAAAGCAUUUCAUGAAAAGCUCCUACAGGGCAGCCACGGGAAGUGAGAUAUCUUCAACUGGAGAGAGUGAGAACACCCUGCCCUAGGGUACCCUACAACAAAAUAGAUGGAAGAUGUGGAUUCAAAUCCCCUCCAGCACAGAAGAGCUG